UGGGGAAUAUUGCACAAUGGAGGGAACUCUGAUGCAGCAACGCCGCGUGCGGGAUGACGGCCUUCGGGUUGUAAACCGCUUUCAGCCAUGACGAAGCUUUUGUGACGGUAGUGGUAGAAGAAGCACCGGCUAACUACGUGCCAGCAGCCGCGGUGAUACGUAGGGUGCGAGCGUUGUCCGGAAUUAUUGGGCGUAAAGAGCUUGUAGGCGGUUUGUCGCGUCGAUAGUGUAAACACGCAGCUUAACUGUGUGCCUGCUGUCGAUACGGGCUGACUAGAGGAGGGUAGGGGAGAAUGGAAUUCCCGGUGGAGCGGUAGAAUGCGCAGAUAUCGGGAGGAACACCAGUGGCGAAGGCGGUUCUCUGGACCUUUCCUGACGCUGAGAAGCGAAAGCGUGGGUAGCAAACAGG
rnacentral:rRNA from 1 species